rnacentral:lncRNA from 1 species
AAAAGUGAGUUUGAGAGAGUUUGAGAGUGUGAGAGGAGGUGAUCCGUUUUCCCUUGUUCAGAGUGUGUAGCUUCUUACUACAGGAGGUAAGUGAUGUUCUUGAAUAUGUUUUCUGAAGGUUUUAGGGGGAUUUGUGGAAGGAGAUGCAUGUUUAGGUUCUUAAUGUUAGUUUUGAUGAGUUAUGCAUGUAUACAUGUUUAUGUGUUAUGUUGGAUUUGUUGUUUGGGGUUAUUAGAUAGUUUUGGACCCCUGUGAUCAUAUACUUAUGUAUAUGUGUGUUGAGGAGUUGGUAUAUGCAUGUAUGGAGAACUUGAAGGGAAGGAGGAGAUGUUUUGCCGUUGAAGCUGAGUUCUGGAUGAACUCAGGUUCGGCAGCCGAAGGUUCAUUCGGCCGCCGAACCUCUUGCAUGGUAGCUUAGGCUGCCAUAGCUUGCCCCCGCGAGUUGUGCAUGUUCGGCUCUGUUUGGGGGAUUCGGCCGCCGAAGGUGCCGCCGAAGGUUAGAGACUUUCAUCUCUGGAGUGCCUUGUGGCCUCCGAAACUUGCCCCCGAAAGGGUUCGGCCGCCGAACAUAGAGAUUCGGCCGCCGAAGGUGCUUGAGUUUCGUCUCUGGAGAGGACUUUCGGCCGCCGAACCUGCCGCCAAAAGUGUUCUGUCC